rnacentral:rRNA from 1 species
GAGUUUGAUCAUGGCUCAGGACGAACGCUGGCGGCGUGCUUAACACAUGCAAGUCGAACGGUGAUCCGCUUUCGGGCGGUGAUCAGUGGCGAACGGGGUGAGUAACACGUGGGUAACCUGCCCUGCACUCUGGGAUAACUCCGGGAAACCGGGGCUAAUACCGGAUACGAGCCUGGUCCGCAUGGGCCGGGUUGGAAAGUUUUUCGGUGCAGGAUGGACCCGCGGCCUAUCAGCUUGUUGGUGGGGUAAUGGCCCACCAAGGCGAUGACGGGUAGCCGGCCUGAGAGGGCGACCGGCCACACUGGGACUGAGACACGGCCCAGACUCCUACGGGAGGCAGCAGUGGGGAAUAUUGCACAAUGGGCGGAAGCCUGAUGCAGCGACGCCGCGUGAGGGAUGACGGCC